UCACAACCAAGCCGCCGCCGCGCCGCCGGGCCCGGGGACCUGGAGGGGGGCCGCUGCUAGCUAGCUUCGCGACCCCGCUCCUUUGAGCUCCGCCGCCUCCGCCGCCUCUCGCCUCUCGCCACUCCGCCGCCUCCGCCUCCUCCCGCGCCGCGCCCACUGCGCAAGCGUCGCCCGCCCAGGCCCCGCCCCUUCCUCUCCCGGACGCCCGCCUCUUAGUGUCGUCACAAACUCGUGACGUCCCCGCGUGACCUCACCGCUGCGGGGCGAUGGAGCGAAAAGUGAGGAAACUGAAGUCCCGGGAGAGACAGUGGCAAGGUCAAGUAGCAAAGUGCACUCAGCCCUCCCAGCAAGGAGUCUGCCACUCGCGCUUGAAGGACGUGUUUGAAGAGCUGCUUUCCCAGUGGGAUGCUGCCUUAAAGUCUUGAUUCCCUGGCACUCUUUCCUAUUACUACAUUUUAUCGGUGCUGUUUGUGUUAUGCAACGGUAGCAUCGUGUCUCCGGAAGAUAAAAAAGGUCUCGAUACAAACAUCCAUAACCUUCCACCCACUCCGUCAGGAACAACCCAAUCAAAAUAAAGUCAUGAGAAUUUAGCAUGCCU
rnacentral:lncRNA from 10 species